rnacentral:rRNA from 1 species
AUUGAACGCUGGCAGCAUGCCUUACACAUGCAAGUCGAACGGCAGCACAGGGCAACCUGGUGGCGAGUGGCGAACGGGUGAGUAAUGCAUCGGAACGUACCUUUCAGUGGGGGAUAACGUAGCGAAAGUUACGCUAAUACCGCAUAUUCUGUGAGCAGGAAAGCAGGGGAUCGCAAGACCUUGCGCUGAUUGAGCGGCCGAUGUCAGAUUAGCUAGUUGGUGAGGUAAAGGCUCACCAAGGCGACGAUCUGUAGCGGGUCUGAGAGGAUGAUCCGCCAAACUGGAACUGAGACACGGUCCAGACUCCUACGGGAGGCAGCAGUGGGGAAUUUUGGACAAUGGGGGCAACCCUGAUCCAGCCAUGCCGCGUGAGUGAAGAAGGCCUUCGGGUUGUAAAGCUCUUUCGGCCGGGAAGAAAUCGCACGGGCUAAUACCCUGUGUGGAUGACGGUACCGGAAUAAGAAGCACCGGCUAACUACGUGCCAGCCGCCGCUGUAA